AAGACAACUUUUAGCCAUCAUUCUAUCUUUGCCCAAAGUCGUGUUAUUUUUAUAGUGAAACUCAAAAAGUUCAACCAUGAGGAGUAAAGUACUCAAUCCCGAUUUGCUAAAACUGGCACAAAAAUUCAACGUUAACAAAAUGAUUUGUCGCCAGUGCUACGCCAGGCUACCCCCAAAUGCGACAAACUGCCGCAAGAAGCGAUGCAAGUCUACAGACUUGCGACCUAAAAAAACACUUGUAUUAUGAUUUAAUUGUUAAGCAUUUUAGGCGCUGACAAAGUUUAAUUUUAAAUUUUUUUUGUUAAGAUGACCCAAAUUUAUCAAGUUUUUCCACAAGUUUCACAAAUUAAAAUUUUAAGUUUU